UACGGGGGGAGCAAGCGUUGUUCGGAUUUACUGGGCGUAAAGGGCGCGUAGGCGGCGCAACAAGUCACUUGUGAAAUCUCCGGGCUUAACCCGGAGCGGCCAAGUGAUACUGUCGUGCUAGAGUGCGGAAGGGGCUACUGGAAUUCUCGGUGUGGCGGUGAAAUGCGUAGAUAUCGAGAGGAACACCUGCGGCGAAGGCGGGUAGCUGGGCCGACACUGACGCUGAGGCGCGAAAGCCAGGGGAGCGAACGGG
rnacentral:rRNA from 1 species